GACGAACGCUGGCGGCGCGCUUAACACAUGCAAGUCGAACGGAAAGGCCUGCUUUCCCUUGUGGAUUGCGGGUACUCGAGUGGCGAACGGGUGAGUAACACGUGAGUGAUCUGCCCCCAACUUGGGUAUAAGCCUGGGAAACUGGGUCUAAUUCCCGAUAGGACUGCAGGGUGGUGCCUGUGGUGGAAAACGAUUUUCUAGUGGUUGGGGAUGAGCUCGCGGCCUAUCAGCUUGUUGGUGGGGUAAUGGCCUACCAAGGCGGCGACGGGUAGCCGGCCUGGGAGGGUGGGCGGGCCCAUUUGGACUGGGAGACCGGCCCGACUCCUACGGGAGGCAGCAGUGGGGAAUAUUGCACAAUGGGCGGAAGCCUGAUGCAGCGACGCCGCGUGGGGGAUGACGGCCUUCGGGUUGUAAACUCCUUUCGACCGCGAGGAAGCCACCUGGUUGGAAGGGUGGUGACGGUAGUGGUAGAAGAAGCACCGGCUAACUACGUG
rnacentral:rRNA from 1 species